CCAAUAUAAUUACCAUGUAAUGCAGAUAACAAAAAAAUGAGCUCCUCAUCACUUCCUUCAUACUCCGUCUGCAGGUUACGGUGCUGCCGGAAUUUAACCACAAUUUCUUCCGGCAGCACCUUAUUCCGGCAGAGCGGACACGUGGCAGAAUCUUGUUGGAGCCACGUGUCCAAACAAUCCUUGUGAAAAAUAUGCUUGCAUUUCAGCUUCCGUACUUGUUCGCCGUCUUCAAAUGCCGAUAAACAAACGGCACAGGUAUCGGAAAAACCGGCCGGGUUGAUUGAGGGGGUUUUGAACCGGCUGACCGGGUUUUUUUCGUCGAUGAGUUUGAGGUAUUGCUUGGUUGUGAUGGGGCGGCCGCGGCCGGAAUCUGAGAUUGUGUCGGUUAUGGAACGUACUAAGAUUACGAGUUCGAGUAUGAGAAUGGUGACGAAGACUAGAGUCAUGGUGUAGAUAUGAGCUAAGAGCUGAGAAAGAGCAGCCAUAAUUGUUGUUAUUGUAUAUAUGAUUAUGAUGUGUAUACAAAGAAAGAGAAGUUUCUUCUUUUUUGGUACAUUUAGG
rnacentral:misc_RNA from 1 species